AUUGAACGCUGGCGGAAUGCUUUACACAUGCAAGUCGAACGGCAGCACGGGGCAACCUGGUGGCGAGUGGCGAACGGGUGAGUAAUACAUCGGAACGUGCCCAAUCGUGGGGGAUAACGUAGCGAAAGUUACGCUAAUACCGCAUACGAUCUACGGAUGAAAGCGGGGGAUCGCAAGACCUCGCGCGAGUGGAGCGGCCGAUGUCAGAUUAGGUAGUUGGUGGGGUAAAGGCUCACCAAGCCAACGAUCUGUAGCUGGUCUGAGAGGACGACCAGCCACACUGGAACUGAGACACGGUCCAGACUCCUACGGGAGGCAGCAGUGGGGAAUUUUGGACAAUGGGCGCAAGCCUGAUCCAGCCAUUCCGCGUGCAGGAUGAAGGCCUUCGGGUUGUAAACUAGCUUUUGUACGGUAACGAAACGGCGAGCUCUAAUACAGUUUGCUAAUGACGGUACCGUAAGAAUAAGCACCGGCUAACUACGUGCCAGCAGCCGCGGUAAACG
rnacentral:rRNA from 1 species